AUUGAACGCUGGCGGCAGGCCUAACACAUGCAAGUCGAGCGGAUGAAGGGAGCUUGCUCCUGGAUUCAGCGGCGGACGGGUGAGUAAUGCCUAGGAAUCUGCCUGGUAGUGGGGGAUAACGUCCGGAAACGGGCGCUAAUACCGCAUACGUCCUGAGGGAGAAAGUGGGGGAUCUUCGGACCUCACGCUCUCAGAUGAGCCUAGGUCGGAUUAGCUAGUUGGUGGGGUAAAGGCCUACCAAGGCGACGAUCCGUAACUGGUCUGAGAGGAUGAUCAGUCACACUGGAACUGAGACACGGUCCAGACUCCUACGGGAGGCAGCAGUGGGGAAUAUUGGACAAUGGGCGAAAGCCUGAUCCAGCCAUGCCGCGUGUGUGAAGAAGGUCUUCGGAUUGUAAAGCACUUUAAGUUGGGAGGAAGGGCAGUAAGUUAAUACCUUGCUGUGUUGACGUUACCAACAGAAUAAGCACCGGCUAACUUCGUG
rnacentral:rRNA from 1 species